UACGUAGGUGGCAAGCGUUGUCCGGAUUUAUUGGGUUUAAAGGGUGCGUAGGCGGCUUUGUAAGUCAGUGGUGAAAUAUGGCAGCUCAACUGUCAAGGUGCCAUUGAUACUGCAGAGCUUGAGUACAGAUGAGGUAGGCGGAAUUGACGGUGUAGCGGUGAAAUGCUUAGAUAUCGUCAAGAACACCUAUAGCGAAGGCAGCUCGCUGGGACGGUACUGACGCUGAGACGCGAAAGCGUGGGGAGCAAACAGG
rnacentral:rRNA from 1 species